rnacentral:ncRNA from 1 species
GUUAUGAAAGAAAACAUUUACAAAAUGAAAGGAUUUGAAUAUUUUCCAAUUCUUGGAGGAAAAAAGUAUGACCAACGAAUUGAGAAACAUAUAAAAUCAAACGGAAGACCUAAAAGUGAAGAAGAAUUUUUACAAUACAUUGAAGGAUUAAGAAAUAGGAUUUUUUAUCAAAUGAUAGUAGGAAUUCCUUCAAUUGCUUUAGGAAGUUUUGUAAUUGGAGAAGGUUUAGAAGCUUUGUUAAAAUAGUUCUAGAAUCCUCAGAGACUAAACGCUAAACACAAUUUAAAUUGUGAAGAUAUAGUCCGAGCUUUAUGGCGACAUAAAGAAUUGAAUUCAAUUUUGAAUUCAGAUUAACAUAAUGAGCGUAAUACCUUGUCGUCUGAAUGGCGACUUGCAUGAAUGGUUUAACGAGGUUGUCACUGUCCCUGGUUAGAGUCCUCUGAAAAUAUUUGUCCGGUGCACAGACCGGAGACGCCUAGUGGGAAGCUAAGACCUUGUGGAACUUUACUGCAACUUGUUGUUGUGAUUUUGAGAGAAACGCAUAGCAUAAGUAGGAGCGUCGAAGUUGUCAUUUCGGUGGCAAUGGAGCAAACUUGUAAUACUACUCAUUUUUUUCAAAGUUGCUUUACUCUUUAUGAGGACAGCAGCAGGCGGGCAGUUUGACUGGGGCGGUGCCCUGCCGAAAAGAUAUCGGUAGGACCCAAAGACAGACUCACCUAGCUUGGAAAUCUAGGGUUGAGUGCGAGGACAAAAGUCUGUCUGACUGUAUUCCGAAAAGCAAAGAAUGCAGGUACGAAAGUAGGGCCUAGAGAACCCACGUGCACUUUUAAUAGGUGCCGUGUCUGAUAGAAAAGUUACCCCAAGGAUAAUAAGCUGGUCGCCCCCGAUAGUCCGUAUUGACGGGGCGGUUUGGUAUUUCGCUGUCGGCUCUCCCUAUCCUGCGCGUGCAGAAACGUGCAAGGGUGUCGGAGUUCACGCAUUAAAAGGGAUCGUUAGCUGGGUUAAGAACGUCGCGAGACAGUUUGUAUGAUAUCUACUAGGUGUGUUGUUAUCUGAGUGGAACAAGUAUCUAGUACGAGAGGAACGGUACUUGGAUGCCUCUGGUGAGCGGUUGUGAUUUUGCAGGCCGCAUAGCUACGCAUUGUAUGGAUAAGAGCUGAAUGCAUCUAAGCUCGAAGCCAUCCGCAAAACGAGAUAACUAAGGCCGUCAUAGAAGAUGACGUUGAUAGAACUCUUGUGUAAGAUUCGAGGUUCGCCGAGAAUUUCAGCAUAGAGUUACUAAAAGCUUCAAUUUAGUAUUUU